CUCUGGCAAAAUAAGAUCCUGGAGUACAUAUCCCUGGAACUGGGCAAUGAUUUGUAACUCUUUUUUUAAUUCUGUCUGGCCAGAGUGUUAUAAAUCUGGCGCUCGCUUGUUAGCUUCACGCUAGGCAGCAAUAAUGUCCACAGUGUUUUAGUCCUGAUAAUUCUAAUUAUGGAAGCACUGAAGAAGCUGAACGCUGAGAAGAUGGACAAGGCUGGCCUCAAGUCCUGCACAGCACAGGGGAUUCUCUCUUUGUAGAGUUGAACCAUAAUUCUGUCUUUCACCAAGGCCAGCAAUGGAAGCAGCAGCCGAGCUGCUUGGAUUCCCAGGGAUUUGUUGUGGCCAUGCCUGCCUAACGGUUUGGAAAGCUGCUGCAGGGAAUGCUGCAUCCACGGGCAGGCUCUGGGAGCUGGCCCUGGAGACCUACAGCAGUGAGGAGAAGGUUGCCUGUUCUCCAGUGAAAUAAAGCAGUGCCUUCCCAGCAAUCCUGUUGUGAUGCUUGAGCUGCAGCAGAGUCACAUAUGGGAAGAAUAAGAGAGAAUAGCAUGUCU
rnacentral:lncRNA from 1 species